UGGUGUAGCUCUUCCUAAUGUCCUCCAAGGGGGUAUGUGGUCCCCAGCUCCUUUAUUUUAGUUGGAAAGCCCUGAUCUAAAAUAUCAAAAAGUCCAUUGAAAUGGUACUGCUGGAUUGUGAUAGCAAUACACGAAGUCCCUGAGACUGGUUGAUGUAAUAGGUUCAGUCCUAAAAUAGGAAAAUAUCCUUUACUUGUCCAGUGCACCUUUCAGAGAGCUGCUUAAUUUUCGUUCUGGUAGUGAAUAAAGUGAUGCUGGUUCCUCUACACCUGUAACAUUUUUUAGGGUCUAAACCAUUCUAAAACUGAAUUAUUCUGUUAACCUUACAACUGGCUUAGUUCAGUAUAGAUCAAAAUACUGAUAUACAGCCAUAUGAGAAAAUUGGCCACAGGUUCUUCAGUGGAAAACAACACACAGCCCCUCAAAAUUGCAGCACAAUCUAUUUAUUAACCUCUUUUGUGAGCUGUCAAUGGUAACUCAGAGGACAAAACAGUUUUGGCACUUAAAUAAUGUUAGAGGUACUCUAUUGAGUGCUUUGCCCUUGGUUUGUAGAAGAGAUUGAUUAUGAACAGCUGGGCUACUAUACAAAGAAGGGGCUCUCCCAGAUUUCAUGGGCAAAGAUGCUUCCUAAAAAAAGAAGAUAGAGCCCAGAGGGUAUGCAGUUGUGCAUAACACAAAUUGCACAGGGAACCCUAAGAGUCAGCUGGAAUAGGGACCUUUCUUCUCCUGAGAUCCUCACAUAUCCACCUUCUCUGGUUGCAGAAGACUUAUGGAAUUCAUCAAGGUGGUAUCAGAUCCCACUGCAGUCCACACAGUUCAUCCUUAGAUCUAUCCACAGCAUCUUCUGAUUGCUUCCUAUAAAUGUAAGAACCCUGCUCCAAGUGUUUUCUGGUCCACAACAACUUUCUUUGAAUGAAGAAGGUUGUUUCAGAGAUGAAGGUGCAGUUGAAGAUAAACAGUUAUGUCCCCCUGUCCCAAAAUGACUUUUCCAAUCUUACAGAUCUUUGUGCCCACAUUUGAAUAACUGAUUUGUUACUCUCCAAUACAGCAUCUUGCACAGGUUAAUAAACAGCUGUCUAAUUAACUAUAGCAAAGAGUGUAAUUCAUGGAGAUUCUCUGAACAAUAUACAGCUCCAGGAAAGAGAUAAAUCUCUAAUCCAGCUCCAGCUGGCUACAGCCAGGACAGAUUUUAAGACAGGGCUGAGACAGGCACUGAAGGUCAUAAAGGGACUGAACACCAAAACCAGUCCCUGACAGAGGACAGGCAUGUAGAGGACACUGGAAGCCUUCCCUGGUGAGAAGCAACUACAGCAUUUGCUGCUUUUCCUUAGCAGUAAAGAUGUCCUAAUAGUGUUAAAGUGAUGUUGUAUAUGCCCUAGUUUUGAUACUGCCUUUCUACUUGGUCUUAGCACAGCAAAUUCCCAGUGUGUGUCACAUUGCUGUUUGAUCUUCU